AUUGAACGCUGGCGGCAGGCCUAACACAUGCAAGUCGAGCGAGCGGCGGACGGGUGAGUAAUGUAUGGGGACUGCCCGAUAGAGGGGGAUAACUACUGGAAACGGUGGCUAAUACCGCAUACUAUCGGAUAACCCAUAUGGGAUUAGCUAGUAGGUGGGGUAAUGGCCUACCAAGGCGGCGACGGGUAGCCGGCCUGAGAGGGUGGACGGCCACAUUGGGACUGAGACACGGCCCAGACUCCUACGGAGGCAGCAGUGGGGAAUAUUGCACAAUGGGCGCAAGCCUGAUGCAGCCAUGCCGCGUGUAUGAAGAAGGCCUUAGGGUUGUAAAGUACUGUCAGCGGGGAGGCGUUACCCGCAGAAGAAGCACCGGCUAACUCCGUGCCAGCAGCCGCGGUAAUAC
rnacentral:rRNA from 1 species